rfam:Schistosoma curassoni strain Dakar, Senegal genome assembly, scaffold: SCTD_scaffold0003703
AUCCAGCUGAUGAGUCCCGAGUAGGACGAAACGCAUGUACUGGAU